GAGUGUACACAGACUCAUGUAGGAAACCUGUAUAAAAUACUGAUUUCCAGUUAGCAUGGCCCCUACGCAAGGAUGACAUGCAAAUUCAUGAAGCAUUCCAUAUUUUU